GCCUGGUUGGCUCAGUUGGGAGUGUGAGACUCUUGAUCUCAGAGUCGUGAGUUCAAGCCCCACAUUAGGUG
rnacentral:tRNA from 1 species